CUCGAAAUUUAAAUAAAGUAUAUUGAUGAAAAUCGCUAUAAGUGCCCUUCUGAUAAGAAUACAUGACUAUGCAUCAUGAUUCGUGAAUAUAGACAUAUUUGAAAAUUCCAAAAUCUGAAAAUGUUUGACUUUAAACAUGAUGGAAAAGUCACAUGUAAGAAAUGUGACAUCAGUCCUUUCAACAAGCCUGUUCAAAAAUUCAGAACUACAUCCAAAUACUAAAUCAUGAAAAACGAGGUUUACUCAAGUCAACUUUUUCUAAUCUGUGUUGACGUCGUUCAGUCAGAACUGACUCAAAAAGAUCUGAAUUUAUGAAUACAUCCUAUGCUCGCCUUUGCGAAUUACAGGUACUCACCGAUUUACGCUGUUUCGAUAUAAAAAUUAUUCGUUUUACGUCAUUUUGUAUUCAAUUUAACAUCGUUUUAAAUCUAGUGCUUCAAAAUCUGGUUUGUGUUUUCCAUAUCGUUGCAAUUUGUUCAGUAAAAAAACAGCCAUUUUUAGUCUCUCUUACUGCAUGUAACAAUUUAUGUCAAAUAUAAAACACUUUUAGAUGAAUAAACAAAUUGUUUUUGUUGAUUUAAACAGAG
rnacentral:lncRNA from 1 species